rnacentral:rRNA from 1 species
GGUCAAGCUAAUAAGGGCUAACGGUGGAUACCUAGGCACACGGAAGCGAAGAAGGACGUAGUUACCGACGAAACGCUUCGGGGAGCGGGAAGCAAGCAUUGGUCCGAAGAUAUCCGAAUGGGGCAACCCUAAACACGACCACCUGAAUACAUAGGGUGGAGCGAGCAAACCUGGUGAGCUGAAACAUCUUAGUAGCCAGAGGAAAAGAAAGCAACAGCGAUUCCCCCCGUAGCGGCGAGCGAAAAGGGAACAGCCUAAACCAAGUUCUUCGGAACUUGGGGUCGUGGGACAGUAACAAAAGACUGGGAAAUUUAGACGAAGCGGCUGAAAACCGCACCAGAGAAGGUGAAAGUCCUGUAGUCGAAAAAGGAACCAGCUUAACUGCAUCCCGAGUAGCAUGGGGCACGUGAAAUCCCGUGUGAAUCUGCCUCGACCACGAGGUAAGGCUAAAUAUUCCCGUGUGACCGAUAGAGAAACAGUACCGCGAGGGAAAGGUGAAAAGAACCCCGGAAGGGGAGUGAAAUAGAACAUGAAACCGUUAGCCUACAAGCAAUGGGAGGACGAUUGAACGUCUGACCGUGUGCCUGUUGAAGAAUGAGCCGGCGACUUACAGGUUAUGGCAGGUGAAGGGGGAAGACCCCACAGCCCCAGCGAAAGCGAGUCUGAAUAGGGCGAAACGUCAUAAUUUGUAGACCCGAACCCGGGUGAUCUAACCAUGGCCAGGAUGAAGCUUGGGUAAAACCAAGUGGAGGUCCGAACCGACUAAUGUUGAAAAAUUAGCGGAUGAGCUGUGGUUAGGGGUGAAAUGCCAAUCGAACUCGGAGCUAGCUGGUUCUCCCCGAAAUGUGUUGAGGCGCAGCGGUAGUGGAAGUUUAGUCGGGGUAAAGCACUGUUUCGCCGCGGGCUGGGAGACCGGUACCAGGGCGAGGCAAACUCUGAAUACGGCUAAAAAAACUACCAGUGAGACGGUGGGGGAUAAGCUUCAUCGUCAAGAGGGAAACAGCCCAGACCACCAGCUAAGGUCCCCAAAUGAUAACUAAGUGAGAAAGGAGGUGGGAGUGCAUUGACAACCAGGAGGUUUGCCUAGAGGCAGCAAUCCUUAAAAGAGUGCGUAAUAGCUCACUGGUCAAGCGCUCCUGCGCCGAAAAUGAACGGGGCUAAGUUAUCUACCGAAGCUGUGGACUACAUUGUAGUGGUAGGGGAGCGUUCUAUAGGGGGUGAAGCAGUAGCGGCAAGCAGCUGUGGACUCUAUAGAAGUGAGAAUGUCGGCUUAAGUAGCGAAAAUGUGGGUGAGAAUCCCACACCCCGAAACCCCAAGGUUUCCUCCGCAAGGCUCGUCCGCGGAGGGUCAGUCAGGACCUAAGGCGAGGCUGAAAAGCGUAGUCGAUGGAUAACGGGUUAACAUUCCCGUACCGAUUAAUGAUUGUGCCGGAGAACGGAGAAGGUCAACGUCAGCUGGAUGUUGGUUACCAGUGCUAGCAGUCGAGGCGAUGAGAGGUGGCGAAAACACCAGGAGCUAAGACGCGAGUCCCACCUCCCACGGGAGGGAAGUGGCGCUGAUCAAGCUUCCUAGAAAAGCCCGAACCACGUUAAUCAUUAAUUGCCUGUACCCGAAACCGACACAGGUGGGGAAGUAGAGAAUACUAAGGGGCGCGAGAUAACUCUCUCUAAGGAACUCGGCAAAAUGACCCCGUAACUUCGGGAGAAGGGGUACCCUCGCAAGAGGGUCGCAGUGAAUAGGCCCAGGCGACUGUUUACCAAAAACACAGGUCUCCGCCAAGUCGUAAGACGCAGUAU